rnacentral:rRNA from 1 species
UACGAAGGGGGCUAGCGUUGUUCGGAAUGACUGGGCGUAAAGGGCGCGUAGGCGGCUUGCACCGUCAGAUGUGAAAUUCCUGGGCUUAACCUGGGGGCUGCAUUUGAUACGUGUGGGCUUGAGUGCGGAAGAGGGUCGUGGAAUUCCCAGUGUAGAGGUGAAAUUCGUAGAUAUUCGCAAGAACACCAGUGGCGAAGGCGGCUCACUGGCCCGAUACUGACGCUGAGGCACGAAAGCGUGGGGAGCAAACAGG